UACGUAGGGGGCAAGCGUUGUCCGGAUUUAUUGGGCGUAAAGAGCGUGUAGGCGGCCAUGCAGGUCAGCUGUGAAAACUCGAGGCUCAACCUCGAGACGUCGGUUGAAACCGUAUGGCUAGAGUCCGGAAGAGGAGAGUGGAAUUCCCGGUGUAGCGGUGAAAUGCGCAGAUAUCAGGAGGAACACCGAUGGCGAAGGCAGCUCGCUGGGACGGUACUGACGCUGAGGCGCGAAAGCGUGGGGAGCAAACAGG
rnacentral:rRNA from 1 species